rnacentral:rRNA from 1 species
GAUGAACGCUGGCGGCGUGCCCAAUACAUGCAAGUCGAGCGAAUGGAUUAAGAGCUUGCUCUUAUGAAGUUAGCGGCGGACGGGUGAGUAACACGUGGGUAACCUGCCCAUAAGACUGGGAUAACUCCGGGAAACCGGGGCUAAUACCGGAUAACAUUUUGAACCGCAUGGUUGGAAAUUGAAAGGCGGCUUCGGCUGUCACUUAUGGAUGGACCCGCGUCGCAUUAGCUAGUUGGUGAGGUAACGGCUCACCAAGGCAACGAUGCGUAGCCGACCUGGGAGGGUGAUCGGCCACACUGGGACUGAGACACGGCCCAGACCCCUACGGGAGGCAGCAGUAGGGAAUCUUCCGCAAUGGACGAAAGUCUGACGGAGCAACGCCGCGUGAGUGAUGAAGGCUUUCGGGUCGUAAAACUCUGUUGUUAGGGAAGAACAAGUGCUAGUUGAAUAAGCUGGCACCUUGACGGUACCUAACCAGAAAGCCACGGCUAACUACGUGCCAGCAGCCGCGGUAA